AACAUUAUUUCAUAUUCAAAUCAAGAAAACUCCAUAUCAAAUUCAAAUCAUCCAUCGCAUCACAUCAGGUUUACAUAACAAAUCAUCUCAGGAAUACAUUUCCUUACACAGGAAUAUAGAAGGAACAGAGGGAAUAUGCAAUAAGACAAUUAUGGCACAUCCUACAACUUGCCAUCCUACAACAAGAAUUAUAUAACAGGAAGAACUUGCUCUCUCUCGUGAGACUUGCUCCAGCUGCGACAACUUGCCAUCCUACAACAAGAAGUAUAUAACAAUGAACUUCAAGAACAUUACAGGAGCUAAACGCCCAAUCAACGUGAAGUGCUAAAAAAUGCCUUAGCUAGCAUGCAUUCAAAAUUUAGACACUUGACAUAGCCUCAUCAAGCAUGCAAUAAAUUAUAGAAAGUAAACGAGGACCAGACUUUACAAUUACAGACACAUCCAUCAAUCCAUGAGGCAAAAUCAUGUGAAUCCAAAAGGAGAGGCAGGAAGGGAUACCAAUUUUGAUCCAGAGGGUACAUGAGUGUGGCCUUCUUCCGGAAGAGGUUGGCCCUAACGCACCUUGUAUGAGGCGCUGGGAGCUCAUAGAUUGUCCUGGUCAAUGAGCAGGUCCUUGCAUCCGGUCAUACUGCUAGCCUGGGGAACAGGAAAAAUGAAAGGAACAAUUUAGACUUGGUAUUAACGAACAAAGACUGUAAUCAAUAGCAGAUUAAGCACCAAUUUUCUUGGAUGCAAGGAGAAGAACGAGCAAAACAACACAGAGAUGUGGGACAAUGUUGUACCUGUAGAUGAUGUUCGCAGCCAAGGAAGACAUGGGGCCAGCCUUAAAUGUGCGCGUGCUUCACCGGUGCAUGCAUCACCAUAGCAGCCAAGCAAGUAGACAUCAUCGACAUCUACUCACCGCUUUCCUGGCAAUGGAGAAAGAGUCAAACAAAAAAGUAUUAGACCAUGAUAUGACACCAGACCAUAGAUUAGUAGCUUUAAAUCACAAAGUAUAUCCACAACACCAUAAAAUAGUCCCAAACCCGUGUUAUUUGAGUAUAUCACAUGUAGUUUAUUUUCAUGAGUCCAGAAACAUGGAAGGGUUCAAUACAGUCCUAAUAUACAUUCAUAUUACAGUAGCUCGAUAAGUCCAGAAAUAUGUUGUAUAUGCAUGAUAAGUCCAGAAACCCCAGUGCUAUUUAUUUACUGGUUUUAUUGAAUCACACACAUUACUGCCCUUAUUUGAAAUCUCUCGCAUGAAUCUAGGUGCAGGGUAGAUGCCUUUUUUAUAUGUUCUACAUUACUACCCCAAGAAACAUUGGCUUUGAACGCUUGUGCCAACUCGUUUAUCAACAGACAUAUUCUAGCAGAGAGGCACUCUGAUUUGCCUAUGUGGAUCUAAACAAUUCCCCUCGCUCUACGAGAAGCUACCGAAUAAACAAUUUCACACAUCUGUUGAUUGGUUUUGAUACUCAUAACAAAAGGAUGCAACAUAUAAACAAUAGCCACAACACAACUACAACGCGGCUCAAAUUUCAAAGUUGUUGUGAUGUGCCUGUAGCAUGCUGCCUAAGCAACGACAAUGCAUAGUGGUACAGCCGAGAGAUCAGUAGCAUCAACACGUUUAGCCCUACUUGGAUCACACGCCCACGUACAGGCCCCAGAGACAAUUCAACUAAAUUGGCCAGGUUCGAGCAGAGCACAAAGUCAAAGACAAAGUAUAUAUCAGUGCCUACAAUCUUCAGUUCAGUACACAUCUCUUUAGAACAGAGUAAUAUUCAAAAUUCAUAUAUCAGUAUGUAUUCAGAAUUGAACCACCAACGACAGCUUUACUAAAUCUCUUUAGUAGAGAGUAAACGCCAGCAAACUAAUUUCAUCUCGAAGGUUAGUUUUGCAACAGCAACAAGCAUUAAACACGCUACUCUUGUUACUAUAGUGCAGUUCAGUACUAUAGUUCAGUACCAUAUGCCUACAAUCAGACACAAGCUUCAGUACAGUCAAAGUAUAAUUACAAAUAGGAUUAAGAAUCAAAGUUGUUACUCAUGGGAUCGUGGCACAGAGCGUUCAGUAAAGAGUAUAACACAAGCUACACUUAUAAACACAAGCUUCAGUUCAGUGCAGAAAUAAACAAGCCUCAGAUUGUGAGCAGCAGUGUUAGAUUGUUUACCUUCAGAGUUCUUCUUCUCCCACCUCCACAUCCUUCACAAAGCCACCCUCC
rnacentral:lncRNA from 1 species